ensembl:lincRNA
GUGGGUGUGAACUGGGUAGAUUUGUUCAGUCCUCUCAGCCAGCUCACCAAACAGUGUGGGUAAAAAGAAUUCAGAACAAGCUCAGUACUAUGAGUACUGCUUCCAGGUGGUUAUUCCUGGGCACUGGCCCAGUGACCCAGUUCUGAUACAUGGUCCUCCUUGCCCACCCCAUCUGCUCUAAAAUAAAUGUUGCAUUUGCAAGCAUGAGGACCCGAGCUUGAUCCCUAGUACCAAAACAAACAAAAAUAAGUGGAGCACAUGCAAACUAACCCCAAAGUUCAGCCCUGAUGUUGGAUGGUAAUGUGGUCUCGCUCACUGAACUGUAAGAUUUCUUGGUUCCAAAAUGCUGCAAACCUUGUAGCCUAUAAAUACAAUGAACUGCAUCUGAGAGUGGAAUCAUGUGGCUCAUCAGACACCCAGGAGACAUAGUUGGGGACACAAAGAGCUCAGCCCUGUCCAGGGUUUCUGUCCACAGGGAACAGUAGGCACAGGUGAAAAGUGCAUUCGCUAUCAUGCUUUUCCAGCCAGCCCUCUGUCUAUCAGGGCUCUGAGGCACUAAGCCACAUGUAUUGACUCUGUCUCCCCACAGAGGUAUGGGCCAGGCUCUGAUGUGCACAGCAAUGGUCCCACACCCUGCUCCAUCCUUUCCAUGCAGUCCCCAUUGUGCCCAGCUCUCCAGUUCCCGUCCAGGUCCUGUGACUCUAAUUCCCCACUCACUGGACUGCCUUUUGUUUCUUGUUAUUCUCCCCAGCCUCAGACCCUCUGCUGUCCUUUAAGACUUCUACCUGGGCUCAUCCUUCCAGCCUACAACAGACUCCAUUUGUCCAUCACAGAGCAGUUGGUCACGGCAUCAGCCAUUUCUGGUGUUCAGACCCUGAAAGAGGAAGUGAGCUUCUUAAAUUCUGAAUGUCACAGAGCCAUCCUGCCACCCCUCAUCAGUUCUGGGGAUGAGAUGUUCCACCAGAAGGAAAAAUCAGUUGUCCUGACCAUGCUGGUGGGGGCACCACAUUGUCCUUGCCCCUGUGACACCAGGAGGAGAAGGAAAACCAGGGACCAGCUUCAGGUAGAGGAAGGAGCAGAACCUGUGGGCUGACUCACAGAGAAGAAAAAAAAAAAGAAAAGAAAAGAAAAGAAAAAAAGAAAAAAUCAAGGUAAAAUUGCUUCUAAAUUGAAUGUUUUUCACUAUUUUCAGUGUGGUGUCUGCAAUACUCCAAGAUGAUUUCCUCUUGGGGUUUCAGAAAAGCUGUAAAUAGAAUGAAUUGCUUUUAGGGACAUACUCUGGUAGUUCACUUCUCAAGAAAAUAUAUGCUAAUGCAUGUAGACUAUCAUUAUUGGGGAGACCUAUGUACUGACUCUUUUAUGUCUAUGAAGAGCAGUUUUCUGAUUGCUAGCAUUUUGCCAAAGUCUCUGUCAUGCGUGGGCUGAAUAUCUAGCAGAAAGAGGCGGAUUCAGCUAAGACUACAUGCUGAGUCUCUCCUAAGCCAGGGUUGGAGGGGGGUCUUGGUUUGCCCAAAGUUUCUUAUUAAGUGAAAAACAGGGAAAGGACAACUUUGCCUGAGAACCUAAAUGAAAGUCAAACCAGUCCAGACUCACCUGCAAUUCUGGAACCCCUGGGUGAUUUGGAGGCAGGGAAGUCCUCUCCGGGUCACCCACGAGCUCCGCAGUGUGGGCCACACCCAGCCAGAAGGUGGCAGUAUGUCCCACGUGCCCUGGAAGCCUUCGCUGACCAUUUCAGGCCCUGUCUGUAGGAUCAUCUUCCGCUUACCCAGCCAUCGUCUUCUGAGUUUUCUUCUGUUAUGGCAAAGUGGGUUAAACAACACUCGGCUUUGUGAGGAACACAGCCAACAAAUGAGAUAUCAAAUGCAGCUUCCCGUGUAAAAGAUCAGACUCCGGCGGGCACGCACGCCGGCGCUCUGCUGGAACUCCUUGGCUCUGCAGCCAGCUUCAUUUAGGAUUCAUAAAUACCUUUGUGCACUCCCGCACACAGACGCCAAAGGAAUUUCAUUCUGUAUCAUCUGCAUUUAAACACAACAAAGAGGAAAAGAUGUGGACGUUAAAGAGAAAGAAGGAAGUGGCUGUGAAGAAAAUCUGAGGCACCAAGUGGUGGGUGUUUGGUAGAUGAUGACUUGAUGAAGGGUUCGCCAUCUCUCUGUUCUGACAGAAGCAUCAGUUCGUCUAUAGUCUGGUGGGCGAAUGCAGCCCUUUCUGAUGGCAGGGUGCCUUGGUCAACGACACUUCAAACUGCUGCACUGGGUGCUGGUCAAGAUGGACAUCAGCCUUACAAGUGUUGGUCCGAAGGUCCACUUGACAAGCUUCUGGGAACUUUUGAAUUCAGGAAGCAAACUUGAAUGCUUUUGGGAACCAGGCUGAAGAACCUUUGGUAUGAAGCUGGCCAAGUAUGUGGUGAGUAUGUCUGCUCAACCUCAGGGAUGCAGCCGUUACUCAGGUCCUGCUGGUUAUUACCAAAAGGAAAUUGUUGUCAGAUCUCUCAGCACAUCAAAAGAAAC